UAGGCAUAAUUCUUGCAUAUGAAUCUAGAGGAUCAAUGAUUGAGAUCGUUAAAUGAAGUCAUCUACUAAUAUAAAUAAUAGAAAUCCUCAAAUUCUUAAAGUAAAGAGGUCAUUUUUAGAUCCUUUAUAUAUAUAUAUACUGUCACACCCCAGUUCUUAAGUUAUUUUACGGUUAUUUACUUUUGGUAUUACUUUGGCUUUUACCGUUUUGAGUAACCGUUUACUAUUUAAAACUCCAAAAGUUGACUUUUUCUUCCGUUUGGAAUUUGGGAAAAUUUUCUUCAUGAAAGUUAUAGAGGACGUUAAACAGAGUUUGUGGACACGCGGCACGCUUAAAAUGUAUGAAGAAGUUAUGGUCUAAUAACGAAAGUUUCUAUGUUGGUAAAAAAAGGUAAAUUCUAAUAGGCUUUAUUUCUUGUGGGUUUUAAGUUGGACCGGGUAGGAUUUGGAGAGCCCAAACCCCAUUCUCUCUCUCUCUCNNNNNNNNNNNNNNNNNNNNACUCUCUCUCUCUCUCUCUCUCUCUCUCUCUCUCUCUCUCUCCCUUCUUUCUCCUUUCUCUCCCGAACUCUUCCUGACCCACCGGAUAACCCAGUCCCGUUCGCCGCCGUCCGGCCACCACAGACCGUCGCACCGGUCCCGAACGGUCGGCCCUCGACCCAGCUCUCUUCUUGGAUUGGUGGGAGCCGCCCUAGUGCCGCCGUGAGGGAGAGAGAGCACCCGGAAGCUCCGACUGUGUUGUGGAGUCCGGUCGCGGGAAAUCGCUCCUCCGACCACCAUCACCGGUGAUUCGGGUCUUGUUAGGAAGAGUUUUCCGUGUGCAACAAUUCUCUAGAAGGUAAUGAUCCAAUUCGAAGUGUGUUAGAGGAUUUUCGGGCUAGGGUUUGAAUUGGGGGAUUUUUGGAUGUUUUGAUUCGAUUACCCUAGUUAAGCUUAGAAUCGAACUAAGUGCUAGUUAUGAAAGUUGUUGUGCUUAAUGAGAGGAUUAUUCUGUUAAAUUUUGGGAGGCAUUGGACGCCGCCGGCCGCCGCUGCCGACGGAGCAGGCGCAGCGCCGCCGGUUGAUUUUCAGGUUUUUGAGUUUGUUAUAAUGAGAGGAGUCUAAUGAAGUAUAGUUUGGAAUUUUUGGAGGAGUUUUGAUAAGGUUUGGGAUUUCUAAAAGAUUAAGGAUUUUGCCGGUUGUUAGAAUAAAAAUCCAGCCUUUAGAUUUCCUUGGUAUUUAUUAUAGAAUGUUAGAAUUGAUGAAUUAAGGUUGUGGUGGAGUUUGGUGUGAAUCCGGCGAGUUUAACCCUAUUAAGAGUAGUGGGUUAAACGGAAGAGAGUCAGAUGUUUUUAUUCACGUAUUUAUUUUCUAGAGUUGAAGUUUGGUUCUAAGCAUGGUUGUUGUGCCAAGAUGCGAAGGGAACCUCGCUUGAGUGGCGAUGCGGAUAUCGUCGGGCUUAUGCCUAAAUUUGUGAGUGGACCUUUUAGUUUUAAAUAAUUAUGCAUGCAAGAUUUUAUAAUUUAUUAUUUUAGUUUCCGAGCUUAUAUUAUAAUUUCGGCUUAUGAAAUAAUCUUGGAAAGUAUUUGAGAUUGAAACAUUGAUUAUUUAUGGGUCAUAAUUUAUGGAUUUGAGCUCGGAUUACUAAUUUGAUAUUUGAGUUUGGAUAUUUUUAUAAAUUCCAGAUUUCAUUAAUGGUUUUAUGGGUGGACUUUGAGAUUUAUAAAAGAUUUCCGAAAAUGGGAUUUUCGGUAGUUUGCUAUUUAUAAUUUUGGAAAUUAUUGGUGGAAUAUCAAUUUGAUCUUGAGAAUGUUUUAGCAAGUAUUUUGGAUUGAGAUAUUAAUUAUGAUUUUUACUUGUUAAUUAAAUCUCGCUUAUAUUAUGGUUUUGAGAAUGUUUUGACGUGUGAGACACGUCAUUGAGUUUUAGUAUAAUUUCUUAUGAUGAUUUUCAAAUACGGUUGGGAACCGUACCAUUCAUUUGAUAUUAGGGAAGUUUAAUGAAUUUAAGUGAUUUCGUAUGAUUUUAGUCAUCAUAAUAUAUGGUCGCUUUUUUAUUGAUUAUUGCUAGCUAACCUUAUUAGCGGUCCUCAUCAUAUGUGAGUCGCUAUUAUAUCCUUAUUAGCGGUCCUUUUCAUAUGUGAGUAGAGCGCUCAACGUGGGACGUUGUUAUAGCCUGAGAGGCAACCGAUCGGUAUUUAUAUUUAUUAGUUAGCUAGCCAUUUUCAGCGGCUACUCACUAUAGGUGAGUAGAGCGCUUAGUGUGGGACGCUAUUAUAGCCUGGGAGAUACCGACCCGAGCCUGAGAGGCUCCUUUUUCAUGGUGAUAACUCUUCCCCUUAUUGUAUUCUUCUCAGUAAUAUAUUUGAUUAACCAGCGGGGCUGGUUUAUCUCUUUUUAUGAGAUUUCUGUUUUAAUUAACCAGCGGGGCUGGUAUGUCUUUUAUUAAGUGAUUUUAGAUUUAAAGUUUUAAGGACGUUCAAGUUGCAUGCUGUUAAGUUUUUAAAGCUGAAGAGUGGGAAAGUAUUUAAAUUGAGUAUUUGUUAAAUUAUUUAAAUUAUUUUGUCCACUCACUCUAACAUUUUUAAAUUACUUUCCCUUCGGCCAUUUGGUUUUAAAUGCCUAGUUUGCAGACUAAGUUAUUUGAGGUUGAGCGUACAUGGAGUCGAGGCAUAGUCAGAUGCUGCUUCUGCUUAUUCUUUGGCCAUUGGUUUUCGUCUAACUUUAGAUAUGCUCUGAUAACUAGUUAGUGAAUUAAUGUUGGUUAUUGUUGGUUGUGGGAUUAGUUUAAUUGAGUAAUUGUUAUAUUGGGAGAUGUGAUGAACUUGGGGAGCAGGAAGGCUCCAGGUGUUGAGGAUGAAUGUUUGUUUAUAGAAGUGUUAAAUUAGAUUUUUUUCAGGUAAGGGUUGUCCAUUUUCAAGGAAGGUUAUGCCGAAUUUUCGGUUAAUUUUCCUUGAAGGUGGACUCCGCAAGAUUUACCUCGGGUUUCAGGGUGAAAUUCGGGGUGGGUCCUGACAUAUACAGUUUCAUUCCAGAGCGGGACACUGCUUUAAAUUUAAAGUGUGAUUCUCCUCAUUUCGCACAUUUUUAGGUCACAUUUUCACAUUUUCACCGUUUAGUGUUUAGAUCAUUCCUGCAAUGUUUCAUCUAAUUUGGAGAUCAUUUGGGUACCAAAUUAAAUUAAAUGAAUCAACUAAACAAAAUCUGUCCAAAAGGGAACCGUUCGUGUAAAUCACAAUUACGGAAGCUCAAAUGAUCUUCAAAUUGGAUGAAACUUUACAAGAAUGGUUUACACAUUAUGUUCUAGACAUUGAACGGUGGAGAUGUGAAAAUGUGACCCGAAAGUGAGUGAAAUAAGGAGCACCACACUUUAAUUUCAAAGCAGUGUCCCACUCUGGAAGGGAACUGUAUACACACACACACAAUUAUUAUCAGGUCCAAAUAUCCUUAUUUAUUCAACAUGUACGGAUUUUAUUAAUUGACCUAUUUUUAUAUCAUAUUUUCUCAUCUUAACCAUUCACAUUGAAGGUAUAUAUGAGUAGAUCAUCUAUAUAAAUUUUCAGCUAAUUAAAUUGAUAAUCGUUAAGGCAAUCAAAGACGUGAUUUAGAACUAAAAACACGAACAGUUCAGGUUGAACAAUUUCAAUUGAUUCAUUGAUUUAAUUCAGUUUCGAUACCUUAACGAUAUCCAAAUUAACUGAAAAUUUGUAGAGAUGAUCUACUCAUAUAUACCUACAAUAUGAACUGUUAAGAU
rnacentral:lncRNA from 1 species